rnacentral:rRNA from 2 species
UGCAAGUCGAGCGGAAGAUGGGAGCUUGCUCCCUGAUGUUAGCGGCGGACGGGUGAGUAACACGUGGGUAACCUGCCUGUAAGACUGGGAUAACUCCGGGAAACCGGGGCUAAUACCGGAUGGUUGUUUGAACCGCAUGGUUCAGACAUAAAAGGUGGCUUCGGCUACCACUUACAGAUGGACCCGCGGCGCAUUAGCUAGUUGGUGAGGUAACGGCUCACCAAGGCGACGAUGCGUAGCCGACCUGAGAGGGUGAUCGGCCACACUGGGACUGAGACACGGCCCAGACUCCUACGGGAGGCAGCAGUAGGGAAUCUUCCGCAAUGGACGAAAGUCUGACGGAGCAACGCCGCGUGAGUGAUGAAGGUUUUCGGAUCGUAAAGCUCUGUUGUUAGGGAAGAACAAGUGCCGUUCAAAUAGGGCGGCACCUUGACGGUACCUAACCAGAAAGCCACGGCUAACUACGUGCCAGCAGCCGCGGUAAUACGUAGGUGGCAAGCGUUGUCCGGAAUUAUUGGGCGUAAAGGGCUCGCAGGCGGUUUCUUAAGUCUGAUGUGAAAGCCCCCGGCUCAACCGGGGAGGGUCAUUGGAAACUGGGGAACUUGAGUGCAGAAGAGGAGAGUGGAAUUCCACGUGUAGCGGUGAAAUGCGUAGAGAUGUGGAGGAACACCAGUGGCGAAGGCGACUCUCUGGUCUGUAACUGACGCUGAGGAGCGAAAGCGUGGGGAGCGAACAGGAUUAGAUACCCUGGUAGUCCACGCCGUAAACGAUGAGUGCUAAGUGUUAGGGGGUUUCCGCCCCUUAUUGCUGCAGCUAACUCAUCNNNUCACUCCUCCUGUGGAGUACGGUCGCNAGACUGAAACUCACCGGAAUUGACUGGGCGCCCGCACAAGCUGCGGAGCAUGUGGUUUAAUUCUAAGCACCGCGUAAGAA